GGUGCCCUGUUCGGUUCUAGGCAUCCCUUGAUGAUGUGGCGCAGUAUCUAUAUGUGAAAAUUUAUUCUGGAUUUGCUGUUGAUUAACUAUAUAUGUGCAUAUGUGGAGUUCGAUUGUUUAUCAUCUCAUAUUUGGGGGAUGUUUGAAUCCCUCUUCGACCAUUUCGAUUGAACUGAUUGCAAUGUUCCAAUAAAUUGCCAAAUGUACAUUAAUAUUAUUUCCAAUUAAA